rnacentral:lncRNA from 7 species
AGACAUCAGGCUGAGAAGGGCCGGCCGGCACGGAGCCCAAAACGAGCCACUCUACGGGACCGGCCGCCACACCUCUCGAGCUUGCAGCAACUGCACCUUGGCCUUGCAAGGUCAAGGAUGCUACGGUCAAUAACAUAAGGGUUUCCCCACCCUGGUGCAGGGAGAAGAACGCGGCAAUGUCUGCAUAAACUAGCAGCGCCAAACACAGGUUGAAGGACAUGAACCACAUGCUAGCUGUGCCGAACUACUGCUGGCGUGGUUCAGGACUGCAUCCUAACUUCCUUGAGUGAAACUCAGUGGACUCUGAAGGUGGUUGAGACUUGAGAGUGAUUCGAGUCAUCCUUGCGUUGCAGGCACCCAUUUAUAACGGAGAAAAAGAGUACCAAUAAUUGGUAACUAGUAUACAGUUUCUGGGAUAAAUGGAUAAUUUUAUCUAGCGGCUAGUGCCUAUCUACUGGUGACUGAUGGCAAUGCUGCCGGUGAAUCUGCAUUGUCCAAAAGCAUCGAGACAAGCUAAGCUAUUAAACAGCGUGCGCUCCAGAAGAAACAUAUGGGCCACGUACCUAGCAGUUUAGCACGGUGCGAAUGGCUAGUGUGCAAUUGUGCAUAUCCUGUGCAAAAACUAGAGUUGAUUUUCAUUUGUCCUAAGUCAGACCAUUCUAUGUUUGACAUAAAGGACAACAUCAUAUUUACGAUAUCAAUGAACUUCAUUAGAGAAACUACGAAAUGUAGUUUCAUAAUUUACCGCUUUGGUGUGGUGUGUAUGUUCUUAGUUUUGUCGACAAACUUGAUUAAACUCAGAAUGGCUUGACCUAGGACAACUGAAAUCCAUUACAUUU